UCAGUCGACUCCUACGGGGAGGCAGCAGUGGGGGGAAUAUUGCACAAUGGGCGCAAGCCUGAUGCAGCCAUGCCGCGUGUAUGAAGAAGGCCUUCGGGUUGUAAAGUACUUUCAGCAGUGAGGAAGGUGGGUAUGGUUAAUAGCAUACUCAUUUGACGUUAGCUGCAGAAGAAAGCACCGGCUAACUCCGUGCCAGCAGCCGCGGUAAUACGGAGGGUGCGAGCGUUAAUCGGAAUUACUGGGCGUAAAGCGCAUGCAGGUGGUUUGUUAAGUCAGAUGUGAAAGCCCGGGGCUCAACCUCGGAAUUGCAUUUGAAACUGGCAAACUAGAGUACUGUAGAGGGGGGUAGGAAUUUCAGGUGUAGCGGUGAAAUGCGUAGAGAUCUGAAGGAAUACCGGUGGCGAAGGCGGCCCCCUGGACAGAUACUGACACUCAGAUGCGAAAGCGUGGGGAGCAAACAGGAUUAGAUACCCUGGUAG
rnacentral:rRNA from 1 species